rnacentral:rRNA from 1 species
AUGAAGGGAUGGGGCGCCAACCUGGGGCGUGACCUCCGCGAUCGCAAGAAGGCCCUGUUGACCGCCAUCCAGGCCCUGGACCUGCGCGCCGAUGCGACCAGCCUCUCUCCUGACGAGUGGCUCUCCCGUUACGACUUGGAAGACCAACUCUCCGCCAUCUACUCCAAUGAGGAGGCCCAUUGGCGCCUUCGUGGCGCCCAGAAAUGGGUAUUGAAGGGCGACGCGAACACGACCUACUUUCAGGCCAUUGCGAAUGGCCGCCGUAGAUGCAACACCACCACCCUCCUCUGGGAUGGCCCGACUCUCCUACAGUCCCCCUGUGACAUCCGGGCCCAUGUCGAUGGGUUCUAUAGGUCCUUGUUCUCCGCCACUCCUUGGAGCGGCCUUUCUCUGGCCCGUGAUUGCUGGACCGGCCUCCAGCUGGUUUCCAAUGCAGAGAACGCGGCCCUUACGGCCCCCUUCUCUGAGAGCGAGGUAUGGGCUGCCAUUAGAGGCAUGAACCCUACCUCGGCGCCGGGGCUAGAUGGCCUCCCUGUUAAAUUCUUCUAG